rnacentral:rRNA from 1 species
GGGGAAUUUUGGACAAUGGGCGCAAGCCUGAUCCAGCCAUGCCGCGUGAGUGAAGAAGGCCUUCGGGUUGUAAAGCUCUUUCGGACGGAAAGAAAUCGCGCAGGCUAAUACCCUGUGCGGAUGACGGUACCGUCAUAAGAAGCACCGGCUAACUACGUGCCAGCAGCCGCGGUAAUACGUAGGGUGCGAGCGUUAAUCGGAAUUACUGGGCGUAAAGCGUGCGCAGGCGGUUGAUUAAGACAGGCGUGAAAUCCCCGGGCUUAACCUGGGAACUGCGCUUGUGACUGGCCAGCUAGAGUACGGCAGAGGGGGGUGGAAUUCCACGUGUAGCAGUGAAAUGCGUAGAGAUGUGGAGGAACACCGAUGGCGAAGGCAGCCCCCUGGGCCGAUACUGACGCUCAUGCACGAAAGCGUGGGUAGCAAAC